rnacentral:tRNA from 1 species
GAUAAAGUGGCUGAGUUGAAAGUGGUAGAUUGUAAAUCUAUAAACGAAUUAGAAAUUCCUUUAUUA